rnacentral:pre_miRNA from 1 species
GACCCUGUGGCCGGAAGGCAGUGAGCUGUUAGCGGCUGCUGAGCUGAGUGGAGCAGUCCCUACCGCACUGCCACCUGCUGCAGGGACA